UGAAAUGGACCUGGACCACUGUGCUGC
rnacentral:piRNA from 1 species